GACGAACGCUGGCGGCGUGCUUAACACAUGCAAGUCGAACGGAAAGGCCCUGCUUGCCGGGUGCUCGAGUGGCGAACGGGUGAGUAACACGUGGGUGAUCUGCCCCUUACUUUGGGAUAAGCCUGGGAAACUGGGUCUAAUACUGGAUAGGACCAUGCUGUAGGUGGUGUGGUGGAAAGAUUAGUUUCGGUAAGGGAUGAGCUCGCGGCCUAUCAGCUUGUUGGUGGGGUAAUGGCCUACCAAGGCGUCGACGGGUAGCCGGCCUGAGAGGGUGGACGGCCACAUUGGGACUGAGAUACGGCCCAGACUCCUACGGGAGGCAGCAGUGGGGAAUAUUGCACAAUGGGCGCAAGCCUGAUGCAGCGACGCCGCGUGGGGGAUGACGGCCUUCGGGUUGUAAACUCCUUUCAGCCAUGACGAAGCCCUUGUGGUGACGGUAGUGGUAGAAGAAGCACCGGCCAACUACGUG
rnacentral:rRNA from 1 species